rnacentral:pre_miRNA from 1 species
AGGUCUGUUUUGGUGCAAACUUGGUUUCAUUGGCUAUAUUCCAAUUGCACUGAUCCCGGCCUGC